AGAGAGAGAGAGAGAGAGAGAGAGAGAUGAUUGUGGUCUUUAUACGUAUUGAAAGGAAGGUCGGAAUGGUGAUGGUAAUGGUGGUGGUGAUGGUGAUGAUGGUGCCGCAGUGAAAGGGUUUAAAUUUCCCUUUCAACACCUUGGUUUUGAAAGGCGAGAAACGAGCGUUGAAUACCUGAGUGAUUGACGGACAGACUAAACGAGAUCGACUGUCUUAUUUCACACAUUUCAGUUCCGUCUCUCUCUCUCUCUCUCUCUCUCUCUCUCUCUCUCUCUCAAUGAUAGCUCAGUUUUUUCCUGUUUUAGCUCGAGCCGAAUCGUGUGUGUGUGUGUGUGUGUGUUUGGAAUACUUACACGAUAUCAUUGACUGACUGACCUCCUGAUCUGACUGACUGACUGACACUGACUUACUUAAGGGCUGACCAGUUCUAUUAGUGACUGACUUAAUAAAUGACUGACUAAUCCGACUAGGUAAUGGAUUGACUAACUGGUUGGCUGACUGAUGGAAUUACUAGCUGGCUGACUGACUGACUGAUUGACUGAGUGGAUGGAUGGAUGAUUAUCGUACGGUUAUCGAAGCGGAAAAUGAAAAUGUGGGCGAAGGAGAGAAGGGAAGAAAGAAGGGAGGAGGGAAAGAGUAACGUGGCUUGGAGAGAAGGGAGGAAAGGGGGAUUGAAGGGAAAAGAGUAACGUGGCUUGGAGAGAAGGGAGGAAAGGGGGAUUGAAGGGAAAAGAGUAACGUGACUUGGAGAGAAGGGAGAAGAAAAAGGGGAGAAGGGAAAAGUGUAAAGUGACUUGCUCCUCCGUCGGUUGGUUGGUUUGUAGGUCGGUCGGGUCGGUCGGUCGGUCGGUUAGUCCGUUCUGCCCAUAAGCCGAAACCCGACCAAGAAAACUUUUGAUACUUCGUUCUUUUUUUCCCAUUUUCUCUAUCUAUCUAUCUAUCUUUCUGUCUAUCUCAUGUGACGAAGGGGUUUUCUCUAUCUAUCUAUCUAUAUCUAUCUGUCUAUCUCAUGUGACGAAGGUAGUGACGGUUUAAUGGUAUGGUAGUGGUGAUGGUGAUUCAGAAAGGUGAUGAUUAUGAUGGAAUUGGGUGGAAAUGAUGUUGAUGAUGACGGUGGUGGUGGUGGUGAUGAGGGCUUUUUCUCCGUCUGUGAAACUAAUCAGGAAUGUACUCAUCACCACCAUCACCAUCAUCACCAUUAUCAUCAUCAUUCUUCAGUCCGCUUUCUCUCUCUCUCUCUCUCUCUCUCCCUUCCUCGUACUGGUUUAUGUGGGAACUUAAUCUCUCUCUUAUUGACUUUCCUUGGACUUAAGCCUCGGUCAAUUGCACCCCACCUGUCAUUAGUGGAAAUUACAGGUACGGCGCCGAGCAAGGGAUUGGAGAGAAAGAAGAAAGUAAUUAAAGUUGGGAGGUAAAUAUAAUCAAUACCGCGAUAAAGAAGGAGCAGGUGAGCGCAGGUGUGUGGCGUUGCAGUCGGGAAAGUUUAAUUAAGCAGUUUGGGGAUUAAUUAAAGGUGUGCGGAGGAAUAUGAGAUUAAGAAAAGAAACUGGAAUGAGAAGAAUUAGAUUAAGAUUGUUUUUACAGUAAGGGAAACAGGUCAAUGGCAGAAAUAGAUGAGAACAACAAAGAAAAGCUCGCUAAUCACUGCUCCUAUGUAUAAAAGAAAGCAUAGAUGAGUGGAAUAGAAAGAAAUAUGAUUAAGAAAACGAAAGAAAGGAGAGAGUGAGACAGGUGAGAGGGAAGGUAAGGCUCUUCCCCAUCCAUAUAAAAGAAAGUAUAGAUGAGGGGAGUAGAGAGAUAUUUGAUUAAAAAAACGAAAGAAAGGAGAGAGUGAGACAGGUGAGAGGGAAGGUAAGGCUCAUCCCCAUCCAUAUCAAAGAAAGUUUAGGUGAGUGGAGUAAAAGAGAUAUUCGAAUAAAAAAAAAAGAGAGAGAAAAGAGUGAAACAGGUGUGAAAGGUAAGGUAAGGUCCAUCUCCAUCCUAUACUUUCACUCUCAACUGCAUGGUGCUCUGUUAACGAAAUCCCACUAACACAUCACCACCCAGUUUUUAUAAGUAUCUUCAUCUCGCACCGUAACUGUUGACUGUGUUUCUCUCCUAACGCGUUCCUAUCCAAGCCCAUAUUCGCAAAAGGCUUAAAAUAUCGAGGAGGAGGAAAGAGUAAAUGAUGAUAAAAGUUGAAAAGGAAAACAUAUCCUCAACUAUCAUCUAUGUUGGAGCAUCGCAUAGUGUAUUUUUCAUCUUUUUAUGAUUUUAUUUAUUUUUUGAGAAGACUCCUUUACUGUAAAUAUAAGGGAAAAUAAAGAGGGGAAAAAAUAAUUAAGAAUAAGUACAGUAGGCUAGUAAAAUAAUAUAAAAAACUGCAGUAGUGUUUUUGUUUUUGCGUACCAUUGAACUGCCUCUCUCGCUGUAACAAAAAAGUAAAAAUCAAGAGAAAAUAAGUAAAAAAAAGUUCGGUAGUAAAAUAAAAUAAAAAGUUUAAGUAUAGCGUAAGACGAAGAGGGGAAAAGUUAAGACGCUGUGUAAGGGUAGGUAAGUAAAUAAGCGGAGGAGGAGGAGGAAAAAUACAGCCUGAGAUUAAAAUAAAAUACAAGGUCGGGUUAUGGCGCCGAGGGAGAGUAAAGCGUGCAAGUUAGCGGAAAACAUGAAGGCUGAGUAGGAGGGGAAAACAUGAAGGAAAAAUAAAUGUCUCGGGAAUAAGAAAACAAGGGGAAAAAUUAGUGGCGUAAAACUGAAUGAAAAACGAUAAAAAAGAAAGAAAAACGUGACUCCGGAGAAGGAAAGCUAUAGAGGCUGAGGAGGAAGAAAAAUGAAGAAGAAAAAAAAUAUAUGACGUUUAAAGACAAGAGAAACAGAAUCAUUAGUGUCUUAAAACUCAGGGAAAGAGGAGUGAAGAAAGGGAAGCGUGACUCUGCAGAAGAAAAAGUUUUAAAAAAUGACUAGCGAGCGUGAAAAUCGUAAAAAAACAACAAAAAAAGAAGAAGAAUGAAAAAAAGAAAAUUCAAUGGCAUGGUUAAGGAAGAGGGAAGGAAAUGAAGAAAAUAUACUUGAUGUUUAUAAAUAAGAAGAGAAAAGGAAAAAAAAAAUA